rnacentral:rRNA from 1 species
GACGAACGCUGGCGGCGUGCUUAACACAUGCAAGUCGAACGGUGAAGCGCCUUCCUUUUUGGUGGGUGUGGAUGAGUGGCGAACGGGUGAGUAACACGUGAGUAACCUGCCCCCUUCUUCUGGAUAACCGCAUGAAAGUGUGGCUAAUACGGGAUAUUCUGGGUCUGUCGCAUGAUGGGUCUGGGAAAGAUAUUGUUUCGGUGGGGGAUGGGCUCGCGGCCUAUCAGCUUGUUGGUGGGGUGAUGGCCUACCAAGGCGGUGACGGGUAGCCGGCCUGAGAGGGUGGACGGUCACACUGGGAAUGAGACACGGCCAAGACUACUACGGGAGGCAGCAGGGGGGAAUAGUGCACAAUGGGCGCAAGCCUGAUGCAGCGACGCCGCGUGAGGGAUGGAGGCCUUCGGGUUGUGAACCUCUUUCGCCAGUGAAGCAGGCCUGCCUCGUUUGUGGGUGGGUUGACGGUAGCUGGAUAAGAAGCGCCGGCUAACUACGUG